rnacentral:misc_RNA from 1 species
GAUGAAGAACGCAGCGAAAUGCGAUAAGUAAUGUGAAUUGCAGAAUUCAGUGAAUCAUCGAAUCUUUGAACGCACAUUGCGCCCGCCAGUAUUCUGGCGGGCAUGCCUGUUCGAGCGUCAUUACAACCCUCAGGCCCCCGGGCCUGGCGUUGGGGAUCGGCGGAGCCCCCCGUGGGCACACGCCGUCCCCCAAAUGCAGUGGCGGUCCCGCCGCAGCUUCCAUCGCGUAGUAGCUAACACCUCGCGACUGGAGAGCGGCGCGGCCACGCCGUAAAACACCCAACUCUUCUGAAGUUGACCUCGAAUCAGGUAGGAAUACCCGCUGAACUUAAGCAUAUCAAUAAGCGGAGGG